UGCACAAUGGGCGAAAGCCUGAUGCAGCCAUGCCGCGUGUGUGAAGAAGGCCUUCGGGUUGUAAAGCACUUUCAGCGAGGAGGAAAGGUUAACGGUUAAUACCCGUUAGCUGUGACGUUACUCGCAGAAGAAGCACCGGCUAACUUCGUGCCAGCAGCCGCGGUAAUACGAGGGGUGCAAGCGUUAAUCGGAAUUACUGGGCGUAAAGCGUACGCAGGCGGUUUGUUAAGCGAGAUGUGAAAGCCCCGGGCUCAACCUGGGAACUGCAUUUCGAACUGGCAAACUAGAGUCUUGUAGAGGGGGGUAGAAUUUCAGGUGUAGCGGUGAAAUGCGUAGAGAUCUGAAGGAAUACCGGUGGCGAAGGCGGCCCCCUGGACAAAGACUGACGCUCAGGUACGAAAGCGUGGGGAGCAAACAGGAUUAGAUACCCUGGUAGUCCACGCCGUAAACGAUGUCUACUCGGAAUUUGGUGUCUUGAACACUGGGUUCUCAAGCUAACGCAUUAAGUAGACCGCCUGGGGAGUACGGCCGCAAGGUUAAAACUCAAAUGAAUUGACGGGGGCCCGCACAAGCGGUGGAGCAUGUGGUUUAAUUCGAUGCAACGCGAAGAACCUUACCUACUCUUGACAUCCUCAGAAC
rnacentral:rRNA from 1 species